rnacentral:rRNA from 1 species
AUUGAACGCUGCGGCAUGCCUUACACAUGCAAGUCGAACGGCAGCACGGGGGCAACCCUGGUGGCGAGUGGCGAACGGGUGAGUACUGCAUCGGAACGUACCCAGUAGUGGGGGAUAACUAGUCGAAAGAUUAGCUAAUACCGCAUACGCACUGAGGUGGAAAGCGUGGGAUCUUCGGACCUCGCGCUAUUAGAUAAGCCUAUGUCCGAUUAGCUAGUUGGUAGGGUAAAGGCCUACCAAGGCGACGAUCGGUAGCUGGUCUGAGAGGACGACCAGCCACACUGGGACUGAGACACGGCCCAGACUCCUACGGGAGGCAGCAGUGGGGAAUUUUGGACAAUGGGCGCAAGCCUGAUCCAGCAAUGCCGCGUGAGUGAAGAAGGCCUCGGUUGUAAGCUCUUUCUAGUCGAGAAGAAAAGGACGUGCAGUGAAUAACUAGUAGUUUAU